CCAAAGGUCUGCACAGAGCAAUAUGCGUGCUGAAGUAUUAUGUAUUAGGUCUAAGUGGUUUGUAAAGGUCUUGGAGAACUUUCAGGAAUGUGUGGUGGAUGGAGCAUCUUAAGCCAAGUGUCCAUGUGGAAUAUGUGAAUGCUUUGGGAGAAGACCAGAAGGACCUCUUUGUUAGAGACAGACCUUCAGUGUGACUUUCAAGAAAAAUGUGCUUCUCUCACCUGGCUGCAAGGAGAGUUAUGCUGGGAUUGUUUCAGGAAGGCUUUCAGCUGCUGUCCUGGAUUAGACCCAGUGCCCUUGGAGUCCUGCUGCUGAUCUCUGGCAAUGGUCUGAACCAGAAGAUCUUGGAGGAAGGGAUGGUUGUCUCGCACCUCGUGCUCCACAGUCAGGCAGGAGGGAGCCCUUGGGACUUGCAGUGCAACAGUUCAGGAGGUAAAUA